GCCUGGAUGGCUCAGUCGGUUGAGCGUCCGACUUCAGCUCAGGUCAUGAUCUCACGGUCUGUGAGUUCGAGCCCCACAUCGGGCU
rnacentral:tRNA from 1 species